rnacentral:rRNA from 1 species
AUUGAACGCUGGCGGCAGGCCUAACACAUGCAAGUCGAACGAGUGGCGGACGGGUGAGUAAUAUAUGGGAAACUGCCUGAUGGCGGGGGAUAACUACUCGAAACGGUAGCUAAUACCGCAUACCAUCGGAUGUGCCGAAAUGGGAUUAGCUAGGUGGUGGGGUAAAGGCUCACCUAGGCGACGAUACCUAGCUGGUCUGAGAGGAUGACCAGCCACCUUGGAACUGGGACACGGCCCAGACUCCUACGUGAGGCAGCAGUAGGGAAUAUUGCGCAAUGGGCGAAAGCCUGACGCAGCCAUGCCGCGUGUGUGAAGAAGGUCUUCGGGUUGUAAAAUUCUGUCGGCGGGGAGGCGGUACCCGAACAAGAAGCACCGGCUAACUACGUGCCAGCAGCCGCGGUAAUUC